CUUCCAGUGAGUGAUAGAUGCUCCUAAGGUGAGGCCGAGGAUUCUAGCGGGAGGAACCUGGAAGCAUUGGUAGAUGUGAAGACGCUGAUAAAUGGAGAGGUUGUUGCUCGACAGUGUGUUCCAGAUGACAUUGAAGACAUCAAGAGGACACUGUUACAAUGGAGCGAUGUUGAGAAGGUCAACCUCAUCCUAACAACUGGCGGCACAGGUUUCUCAGCAAGAGACGUUACACCCGAGGCUACAAGAGCAGUCAUAACGAAAAAGGCGCCAGGCAUCACGAUUGCUAUUAUCCAGAAAU
rnacentral:lncRNA from 1 species